rnacentral:rRNA from 1 species
AGAAUCAACGCUGGCGGCGUGCCUAACACAUGCAAGUCGAACGCGAAAGCCCCGCAAGGGGUAAGUAGAGUGGCAAACGGGUGAGUAACACGUGGGUGAUCUGCCUCAGAGUGGGGGAUAACGACCCGAAAGGGUCGCUAAUACCGCAUAACAUCCUGCCUUUGGAUAGGUGGAGAUCAAAGUUGGGGAUCCGCAAGGACCUGACGCUUGGAGAGGAGCCCGCGGCCGAUUAGCUAGUUGGUGAGGUAACGGCUCACCAAGGCAACGAUCGGUA